rnacentral:rRNA from 1 species
GACGAACGCUGGCGGCGUGCUUAACACAUGCAAGUCGAGCGGUAAGGCCCUUUCGGGGGUACACGAGCGGCGAACGGGUGAGUAACACGUGGGUGACCUGCCCUUAGCUCUGGGAUAAGCCUGGGAAACUGGGUCUAAUACCGGAUAUGACUCCAUGACGCAUGUUGUGGGGUGGAAAGCCUUGUGCGGCUAGGGAUGGGCCCGCGGCCUAUCAGCUUGUUGGUGGGGUGAUGGCCACCAAGGCGACGACGGGUAGCCGGCCUGAGAGGGCGACCGGCCACACUGGGACUGAGACACGGCCCAGACUCCUACGGGAGGCAGCAGUGGGGAAUAUUGCGCAAUGGACGAAAGUCUGACGCAGCGACGCCGCGUGUGGGAUGACGGUCUUCGGAUUGUAAACCACUGUCGGGAGGGACGAAUACGCCGCAAGGGCGGGUGACGGUACCUCCAAAGGAAGCACCGGCUAACUCCGUGCCAGCCGCCGCCGUAAC